rnacentral:rRNA from 1 species
GGAUGAACGCUGACAGAAUGCUUAACACAUGCAAGUCUUUGGCGAAGCUGUGCUUGCACAGCCUAGCCAAGGCGGACGGGUGAGUAACGCGUAAGGAACUUGCCCUGCAGUCAGGGAUAACAGACGGAAACGACUGAUAAGACCUGGUAAAGUCAGGCGGACUCAUGUCCAGCCUGAUGAAAAGAGAUGCUGCAGGAGAGCCUUGCGUCCUAUUAGCUUGUUGGUGGGGUAACGGCCCACCAAGGCGAUGAUAGGUAGCCGGCCUGAGAGGGUGGACGGCCACAAGGGGACUGAGAUACGGCCCUUACUCCUACGGGAGGCAGCAGUGGGGAAUAUUGGACAAUGGGGGCAACCCUGAUCCAGCAAUUCUGUGUGCACGAUGAAGGUUUUCGGAUUGUAAAGUGCUUUCAGCAGGGAAGAAAAAAAUGACGGUACCUGCAGAAGAAGCGACGGCUAAAUACGUGCCAGCAGCCGCGGUAAUACGUAUGUCGCAAGCGUUAUCCGGAAUUAUUGGGCAUAAAGGGCAUCUAGGCGGCCAGAUAAGUCUGGGGUGAAAACUUGCGGCUCAACCGCAAGCCUGCCCUGGAAACUAUGUGGCUAGAGUACUGGAGAGGUGGACGGAACUGCACGAGUAGAGGUGAAAUUCGUAGAUAUGUGCAGGAAUGCCGAUGAUGAAGAUAGUUCACUGGACGGUAACUGACGCUGAAGUGCGAAAGCUAGGGGAGCAAACAGGAUUAGAUACCCUGGUAGUCCUAGCUGUAAACGAUGAUUACUGGGUGUGGGCAUGAAGAGUGUCCGUGCCGAAGCUAAUGCGAUAAGUAAUCCGCCUGGGGAGUACGGCCGCAAGGCUGAAACUCAAAGGAAUUGACGGGGACCCACACAAGCGGUGGAGCAUGUGGUUUAAUUCGACGCA